ACAUAAAUUGUUAAAUAGUUACAUAUAUAUAUAUAUAUAUAUAUAUAUAUAUAUCAAAACAGAGUAUAAACAAAAUGAUAAGAGUAAAGGGCAUAUUAUACCAUCUUUCUUUAUUCUUGGUUUUGGUACUAUUUGUAAGUAAAAAUGGAGUAGGAGGUAAAAAGUUUCAAGGCAAUUUUAGUAUAAAUAAGAAAGAAAAAAUACAUUAUUUAACAAAAUUUAGUUGUAAUAUUGGUACAUGUGAAUUUAUUAUUAAAAUGAAACUAAAAGAUAAUAUCUUUGCAAUAUUGCUUGAUACAUAUCAUAAAAUGAAUAACAAAGACUCAGAUAGUAAUAUCGGUAAUAAUAAUGGUAAUAAUACAAGUGAUAGUGAAAAAAAAAUAUUACAUAUGAACUUUGAUAAUGCAUAUUAUGUAUUAACUAACACUGUGGUAAUACCUAAAUUUCAAAGAAUUACUGUAAUGCAAGAUAAUGAACAAAAAUUAAUAAAGCCAAAUAAUAAAUGUUACUCGUUAAGUCUUUUACGUAAUGUACAUAAAUUUAAUAUACCUUUUUAUUUCAAAUAUUAUGAUUUAAUAAACAUAAAAACAUACAAUUUAAAACAUUUUUUAAAUCCUAAAUACUCUCUAACAUUACACUCUAUGUUUCAUGAAUUACAAAAUAAUAAAAAAUUACAAUCCGAAAUUUUGAAUAAAAGUGCUGCAAUUAAUGUAUUUUAUGAUCGUUAUGGGUAUAAACAAAUAAAUGCGAAAAUACACAAUCGUGUUCAUGUAAUGUUUGUAAUGUUUGAUGAUUGUUAUGAUAGUUUUAUUAAUAAUUUAAAAAGCAAUAUAAAAUCAAAGUUAGCAUAUUGGGAAUAUUUAAAAGAAGCAUCUAAAAAUGUUGAUAUAUCUAAUUUAUCAAUUAUGGAUAAAAUAGAUAUUGAUUCAAUAACAGAUCACGAUGAUAGAUUUUAUACUACUUAUAAUUUUAAUAAAGAUUCUCUUUUGUAUAAUCCUAAAAGACUUUUAUUUUUAGAAAAUAAAUACACAGAAAGUGAAUUAGCAGAUAUAUCUUUUUUUAUUAAAUUUCAUAAUUUUAAUAAUAUGAAGAAUUUUACCAAUAUGUAUAAUAAUUUAUAUAAAAGCGGAUAUUAUGAAAAAGUAAUUGAUUAUAUAUAUGAAAAUGAUGGAUUUAAAAUAGAAUAUGAAGUAAACAUAUUACAAACAAAUAAUUCCCAUUUUUCUUAUGAACUUUUAUAUUCUCCUUUUUUUACUUUCAUUUUAACUAUAUUAUAUAUUCUUCUAAUUUUAAAAUAUGGAAAUAAAAUUAUUGAAAAUGUAUUAUCACCUAAUGAAAAAAAAAAACAUACACUGGUUAUAUCUGUAGCUGUUGUAAUGUGUACAUAUUUAAUAGCCAACUCUCUAUUACUUACACAUUUGUUAGUAUAUUCAAGGAAUGGGGUUGGUAUACCAUUAUUAAAAAUUUCUUAUGAUAUACUCAAUUUUUUAUGCCAAAUUAUUAUGUGCACUAUGCUCCUCUCAUUGAGUUAUGGCUUAACAAUUUUUGAAGCAUCUUUUAAUAUUUACAGCAGAAUUAAAAUCAUAUUUAGUGUUAUUACUUUUUUCCACAUUGUUUUAGUCAUACUGGAUAAUAUUGCAAUAGGUGAUUCCUCAUCUAAAUAUUUCGACAAUGAUAAUAUAACAGGUUAUAUAAUACUAGGGUUAAGAAUAUUGUUAGCUAUGAUAUAUCAUAAUAAUUUAAAUAAUUUGUUUCUUAAGGCAAAAGUUCCACAAAUACGUAGUUUUUUAAAAAAUAUAUAUAUAUAUGGUUUAUUUUAUAUAUUAUCAUUUCCUAUAAUUUUUUUCGCUUGUUAUAUAUUUGAUACAUAUUGGAGACAAAGAUUUAUGUUAUUCGGAACAGCCUUUUUACAAUUCCUCUCUACUUAUUUUAUUACGAAAAUGCUCUUAACAAACUCUGAAUAUUUUAAAGUUUCAGACAUGUCAGCUAGCGAUUUACCUGGGGCUACUUCCAGUUUGUUUUUCGCUAAUAAAGUUCAUGAAUAUUAAAAAUAUGCCUACCACAUAUAUAUACAUAUAUAUACAUUACAUUACAUGUGCAUAAUUAUAUACCAUAUUAUAAUUCCUAUAUUAUGAUUCCUUUUUUUUGUUUUAUUAUCACUGUUGUUAUUAUAAAGUUUGUAAUUAUAAAUAAAAUAUUACUCAAUU
rnacentral:lncRNA from 1 species